UGCCAGCAGCCGCGGUAAUACGUAGGGUGCGAGCGUUAAUCGGAUUUACUGGGAGUAAAGCGCGCGUAGGUGGUUCAGCAAGUUGGAUGUGAAAGCCCCGGGCUCAACCUGGGAACUGCAUCCAAAACUACUGGGCUAGAGUAUGGUAGAGGGUGGUGGAAUUAGUAGUGUAGCGGUGAAAUGCGUAGAUAUUACUAAGAACACCAAUGGCGAAGGCAGCUUACUGGCCAUAUCCUGACACUGAGAAACGAAAGCGUGGGGAGCGAACAGGAUUAGAUA
rnacentral:rRNA from 1 species